rnacentral:rRNA from 1 species
UGGGGGAUAUUGCACAAUGGGCGAAAGCCUGAUGCAGCGACGCCGCGUGGGGGAUGAAGGCUUUCGGGUUGUAAACCUCUUUCGCUAUCGAACAAGGCCCGCUUAGGGUGGGUUGAGGGUAGGUGGAGAAGAAGCGCCGGCUAACUUCGUGCCAGCAGCCGCGGUAAUACGUAGGGCGCGAGCGUUGUCCGGAAUUAUUGGGCGUAAAGGGCUUGUAGGCGGCUUGUUGCGCCUGCUGUGAAAACGCGGGGCUUAACUUCGCGCGUGCAGUGGGUACGGGCAGGCUUGAGUGUGGUAGGGGUGACUGGAAUGCCAGGUGUAGCGGUGGAAUGUGCAGAUAUCUGGAGGAACACCGAUGGCGAAGGCAGGUCACUGGGCCAUUACUGACGCUGAGGAGCGAAAGCAUGGGUAGCGAACAGG